rnacentral:lncRNA from 1 species
CCGGACCAUGGUUGCCGCCGGAGGCCUAGGUCUGGUUAUGCCUGGUAGAGGCUGUUUAGGAUUGUCCGAGGCGAGAUCUGCCCAGCUGCUUUUCGUCUAUCUUUGAGGUGUGGGGAUGAAGGCCGGGGCAAUCCCUGAGAGGGCAUCCUUGUAGGUCCAGCGUCUCACGGAGUUUUGCAGAACGUUCCAGAGCAGACUGAAUGGGAUGGUCUUAAUUUCUGUCCCCACUUUCGGCCUUUUCUUUUCUUCCACCAGUAUAUUACCUUUGCUCCGCUCAGAGAGAUGUCCUCUAAUAACGCCAGCGACUCAUUGUGCUCCUAGCAGAGGGCACGCACCACCCUCCUGUGUGUUCGCAUAGGUCAAAUACAGGUUUGCUCCUUUGCACAUUUAGCGCUGUGAGUAUACAAGGUAGACACAGAAGACAAGGCAGAGAGGAGCACAGGAGGGAAGAAGAGCCCCUGGGGAAGAAGUCCAGUCUUUGCAGUUUCCCCCACUGUGGCAGAGGGGCCACCCUCCUCCCUUGUUCCUCAGGAGGCUCCUGGUCGACUUUUCAGAACCAUCUCCUCUUCCCAGUAAACACAGAAGACAAGACAGAGAGGAGCACAGGAGGGAAGAAGAGCCCCUGGGGAAGAAGUCUUUCAGCUUCUUCCAUGCAGCAUGUCUUUCAUGCUGGUUCUUUCUGGCUGACCUGAAACACAGAUGCCUGCAGAGGAAGGUCAUACCUGAAAAGAGAUUCAGGAUCCUUGCAGCACCGGAAGUAUCAUGAAGUACUGGCCACCUAUCUGCUCCCAGGCUACAAGAGAUCCAAGCUGGAGACUAUAGCACAGUCCCAGAACCUCCCUCCCCACCUUCAGCUGAUCCCACCACUAGCUGCACUCCUUCCCCAUCCACAAAGCACAUCACAGCAUCUCAGGCAACAGAUUGCUGGAUCGGAUGGUAACAACAUGUUUUGUAAGAGUUUUGUGAGAAACUGCCAACUGUCUUCCAAAGUGGCUACACCAUUUUGCAUUUCCACCAGCAAUUAAUGAGAAUUCCUGUUGCUCCAUAUUUGGUGGUGUCAGUGUUUGCAAUUUUGGCCAUUCUAAUAAGUGUAAAGUGCUAUGUUAUUGUUGUUUUAAUUUGCAAUUCCCAGAUGACAUGUGAUGUGGGACAUCUUUUCAUACGCUUAGUUGCCUUUUGUGUAUCUUUUUUCGUUGAGGUGUCUGUCUGUUAAGGUAGUUUGCCCAUUUUCAAUCCGUUGUGCAUUUUCUUUUUGUUAAGUUUUAAGAGUUGUUGGUAUAUUUGGAAUAACAGUCCUUCAUGAGGUAUCUCUUUUGUACAUCGUUUCUCCCUAUGUCUUAUCUCUCAUUCUCUGGUCAGUGUCAUUUGCUAACCAGCAGUUUUUAGUUUGAAUAAAGUCCAGCUUAUCAAUGCUUUCUUUCAUGGAUUGUGCCUUUUGAGUCAUAUCUGGAAAGUCUUUGCCAAACCCAAAGUAGAUUUUCUCCUGUGCUAUCUUUUAAGAGUUUUAUAGUUUUAUGUUCUGUAUUUUGGCCUAUGAGCUAUG